rnacentral:lncRNA from 12 species
AGCUGGAAAAAGUCGCUCUAAGGUUUUUCAGUGUUACAUGCCAUUUGAAAAUGUCACACAUAGCAAUGCCCAGCACUGAGCAUCUCAUUCCUUACACAGCUGCAACCAUUGAACCACUGAUCUAUAGCUCUGAAUUUCUUAGAGAUAUAUAGCUCUUCUGCGGGUGCUAAAUAAUGCUGGUUUUUCUGCUGCUUUUGUAGGCACGGCAUCAAUUCCGUUACCUCCCAUGAUUAAUGCACAAAUUAAUUAUAUAGGAUAAAGAAUGAAUCUCUGUGAUGGACCUUCCAAUACUGUCACUUUUCUACUGCAGACAAUCUUCGCUCUUGUUCAGGUGCUGUAUGACCUGUUUUGCAACUCUGGAAAACCGGGAGAUGGCUCCUGGGGCAUGCCCAUGUGUGUGGCUGAGCAUGGAUGGCCGCCAGAGCCCACUCUCUCCUCGGAAAGCUGCCAUUUCCACAUUCCAAGGCAUCCUUCCCAUUUCCUCAACUGUGUGCCCCACCCCUUGCCACCAGCAAGAGAAGCAGUGGCGUGUUUGGCUGUUCUGUGGCAAAUAUUACUGCUUGUCAGAACUGUCAAGAAACACAUCUGUCAGGCUGCUAAUUAAAGACUUCCUGUGUAUGCUGUGAGCCUCUUUCCACCCAAGUACCACACUCCCAUGGUAGAAGUCUCUUUUCUUCACUUAUGAAGAGCUGUAAGCAUGGCACAAACAAGCCAGGCUCCUUCCUACAAACAAAUUUAAUCAGAUGUAGGUACUUCUGGGUG